rnacentral:rRNA from 1 species
AUUGAACGCUGGCGGCAUGCCUUACACAUGCAAGUCGAACGGAUCAGAAGAGCUUGCUCUUCUGGUUAGUGGCGAACGGGUGAGUAAUGCAUCGGAACGUACCCAGUAGUGGGGGAUAACGUAGCGAAAGUUACGCUAAUACCGCAUACGACCUGAGGGUGAAAGCAGGGGAUCGCAAGACCUUGCGCUAUUGGAGCGGCCGAUGUCGGAUUAGCUAGUUGGUAGGGUAAAAGCCUACCAAGGCGACGAUCCGUAGCUGGUCUGAGAGGACGACCAGCCACACUGGGACUGAGACACGGCCCAGACUCCUACGGGAGGCAGCAGUGGGGAAUUUUGGACAAUGGGGGAAACCCUGAUCCAGCCAUGCCGCGUGAGUGAAGAAGGCCUUCGGGUUGUAAAGCUCUUUCAGACGGAAAGAAAUCUUCCGGGCUAAUACCUCGGGAGGAUGACGGUACCGUAAGAAUAAGCACCGGCUAACUACGUGCCAGCCGCCGCCGUAA